rnacentral:sRNA from 1 species
GCCGGGUGUGGUGGCUCAUGCUUGUAAUCCCAGCUGCUCAGAAGGCUGAGGCAGGAGGAUCGUGAGUUCAAAGCCUCACCAAAAGUGAGGUGCUAAGCAACUCGGUGAGACCCUGUCUCUA